GGAUAUAUGAUGACUACCCCUGUCUCAGCAUUUCAUAGAAAAUCUAUAUAAAAUGAGUGAGAACUCCAAAUGCUACCUUUCUUAUUUUUGAUGUCC